rnacentral:rRNA from 1 species
UCGAGAGGCUUCGGCAAUGGGGGAAACCCUGACCGAGCGACGCCGCGUGAGGGAUGAAGGCCCUUGGGUUGUAAACCUCUUUUGUUCGGGAAGAAAUGCGAUCAGGUGAACAAUCUGGUCGUUUGACGGUACCGGACGAAUAAGCUCCGGCUAACUCCGUGCCAGCAGCCGCGGUAACACGGGGGGAGCAAGCGUUGUUCGGAAUCACUGGGCGUAAAGGGCGUGUAGGCGGUCCGGUAAGUGAGAUGUGAAAUCCCUCGGCUCACCCGAGGACCUGCAUCUCAAACUGCCUGACUCGAGUACGGGAGAGGAUGUGGGAAUUCCUGGUGUAGCGGUGAAAUGCGUAGAUAUCAGGAGGAACACCGGUGGCGAAAGCGCACAUCUGGCCCGAUACUGACGCUGAGGCGCGAAAGCUAGGGGAGCAAACGGG